UGGCCGUGCUGCAGCUCCGGCAAAGUCAGUCAGUGUGGCCGCGGCCGUUGGCGGGUGCAGAGGUGAUACUCAACGGCGGAACUCUGAUCAAUUUUAAGUGUGUCGACAAUCUCAGGACCCGCCUCGCCGCGCCUUGCCCCGCCCCGCCCUGUGCCCCCUCCGCUACUAGUCCCGAACAGUCCCUAGCAGUGCCCCAGCCCGACGAGCCGCCCAGUGCCCCCGUGCCACAGCCGCGCCGGGCAGCUGCCGUGCAGGCCAUGGCGCGCCGCGUGUAGCCGCUGCGGCGCGUGGCAGGGCAGGAGGCGGUCUUUGACUCCCCAUGUGAAGGCGACGACCCGCGGCCCGAGUCACUGCAGCGUCGCCAGGAUCCCCGCCCGCCCUCAAGAGGUCUCGCCGAGGGAGGGACUGCCGGGGUGUCUGAGGCUCCUGACGGGACAGUGGACAGGAGCAUUUAUCUGGCUGGCGGCGGCUCUGCAGGGGGGCGCCCGGGGGCAGAUAAAGGCCUGUCGCCCCUUAUCGACAGGUAGGGCCCCGCCACGAUCAAUCUCUCCUCACACCUGUCUCCCUGCGGCACAUACACAUCGAUCACACACUCCCCUUGCUUCCCCUCCUUCCUCCUCCUCCUCCUCCUCCUUCUCCUCCUGUUACGUCCUCGCUUCUUGAUCCCUUCUUCUUCGUGUACUCCGGCUGACACUCCUUCGUCUGUUUCUAUUUCUUCUUC